rnacentral:rRNA from 1 species
AUGGGGUUCUUCGCUCCAUACGGCAUGGCCAUCCCUCCACCGCGCCCUGGCUGGGUGCCUCCAAACGCCGCUGGUGUCCUCGGUCCCCGUCCGGGACCUGAUGCUCAAGCGUACCCGAUGCAGUACUCGUCGUACGCCCCGCCCUCUCCAUACCAGCAGCCGUCAUGGGAUCACAUGGCCCUUCUUCACGCCGCCUAUAGCAACCAGGGCUUCAACAACACCGCCCCCUCCAACGAGUGGUACCUCGACAGUGGCGCCUCCAACCACGUCACCGGCAACCCUAGUAACCUCAACCAUUCGAUUUCUUCUUUACAACGUAAAUUCUCUAGCAUUGUAGUAGGCAAUGGCCAUCAUCUUCCCAUUCAUGCCACCGGCUCCACCUCUCUCCCUCCCCAUAAUUUCCAUCUACGCAACAUUCUUUUCUCCCCCUCCGUCACCACUAGCCUCAUCUCCGUCCGCCAAUUUACCAAAGAUAAUUUUUGUUCCAUCGAAUUUUACCCAUUUGGUUUUCUUGUGAAGGAUCUUCGAACACGGAGGGUAAUCCUAAUCUCCGCUAGCUCCGGCAACCUCUACCCGUUCUUCGGCAAUAACACGACGCGGUGUACUGCCCUCUCCGCUACCACCUCCGACGGUGAUGUGUGGCAUCGUCGCCUAGGCCACCCAAGCAAUCAAUCUUUCAACUCCAUUACUAGUGCUUUUCCCUUCCAAUGUAACAAGUCAUACAAUGGCCCUUGUACUGCUUGCCAAUUAGGGCACCAACCUAGACUACCUUUCUCCUCCUCUACUAGCCGCACUUAUGCGCCAUUUGAGCUCAUUCAUUGUGAUUUGUGGACCUCUCCGGUCGUGAGUUUC